rnacentral:rRNA from 1 species
UCCGUGCUCUAGCGUACUGCGAUCGCAUAAGUUUGAUCCUGGCUCAGAACGAACGCUGGCGGCGUGCCUAAUACAUGCAAGUCGAGCGGACCGCUUUGGGCAACUGAACCCGUUAGCGGCGGACGGGUGAGUAACACGUGGGUAACCUACCUGGGGGACCGGGAUAACAUCUCCAAAGGGGUGCUAAUACCGGAUACGUUCCUCGGGGCACAAGCCCUGGGGAGGAAAGGUGGGGCAAGCCGCCACCCCCAGAUGGGCCUGCGGCCCAUUAAUUAGUUGGCGGGGUAACGGCCCACCAAGGCGAUGAUGGGUAGCCGGUCUGAGAGGAUGACCGGCCACACGGGGACUGAGACACGGCCCCGACUCCUACGGGAGGCAGCAGUAGGGAAUCUUCCGCAAUGGGCGAAAUCCUGACGGAACUACGCCCCGUGGGGGACGAAGGCCUUCGGGUCGUAAACUCCUGUCAUGGGGAAAGAUGGGCGUCUUGGUAAACAGUCCUGGCUCUUGACGGUACCCCAAGAGGAAGCCACCGCCAUCUCCGUGUUCGCAUCCCCGGUAAUACAGACGUGGCCAGCGUUGUUCGUAAUUACUGGGCGUAAAUGGUGCGUAGGUCGGCAUGUAAGUCGUAUGUGAAUCCCUCGUGUCAACUGAGUACUGCGCCCGAAGCUGCGUGCUCUUGACUCCCGCAAGGAAGUCGACUUCCGGUGGUGCGAUGAAUGUGUAGAGAUCGGAGUGACACCGUGGCUUAAGCGGCCUUCUGACUGUGACUGACCUAGGCGCGUAGCAUGGGAGUCAUCGAUCAUACCUGUAGUCACCUGGACAUCGGUCAGUUGGGAGGUGGAACACCUUGCGAGCUACCGUUAGACAGCAUGGGAUCAGC